rnacentral:rRNA from 1 species
UACGUAGGGUGCAAGCGUUGUCCGGAAUUAUUGGGCGUAAAGAGCUCGUAGGCGGUUUGUCGCGUCUGCUGUGAAAACUCGGGGCUUAACUCCGGGCCUGCAGUGGGUACGGGCAGACUAGAGUGCGGUAGGGGAGACUGGAAUUCCUGGUGUAGCGGUGGAAUGCGCAGAUAUCAGGAGGAACACCGGUGGCGAAGGCAGGUCUCUGGGCUGACACUGACGCUCAUGCACGAAAGCGUGGGGAGCAAACAGG